rnacentral:rRNA from 1 species
UACGUAGGGGGCUAGCGUUGUCCGGAUUUAUUGGGCGUAAAGAGCGUGUAGGCGGCUAGGUAGGUCCGUUGUGAAAACUCGAGGCUCAACCUCGAGACGUCGAUGGAAACCAUCUAGCUAGAGUCCGGAAGAGGAGAGUGGAAUUCCUGGUGUAGCGGUGAAAUGCGCAGAUAUCGGGAGGAACACCGGUGGCGAAGGCGGUUCUCUGGGCCUUACCUGACGCUGAGGAGCGAAAGCGUGGGGAGCGAACAGG